UCCAGACUCCUACGGGAGGCAGCAGUGGGGAAUAUUGCACAAUGGGGGGAACCCUGAUGCAGCGACGCCGCGUGGGUGAAGGAGCACCUCGGUGCGUAAAGCCCUAUCGGCAGGGAAGAAACAGACGGUACCUGACUAAGAAGCCCCGGCUAACUACGUGCCAGCAGCCGCGGUAAUACGUAGGGGGCAAGCGUUAUCCGGAUUCACUGGGUGUAAAGGGAGCGUAGACGGCGACGCAAGUCUGGAGUGAAAGCCCGGGGCUCAACCCCGGGCAUGCAUUGGAAACUGGCGGGCUGGAGUGCCGGAGAGGUAAGCGGAAUUCCUAGUGUAGCGGUGAAAUGCGUAGAUAUUAGGAGGAACACCAGUGGCGAAGGCGGCUUACUGGACGGCAACUGACGCUGAGGCUCGAAAGCGUGGGGAGCAAACAGGAUUAGAUACCCUCGUA
rnacentral:rRNA from 1 species